rnacentral:rRNA from 1 species
UACGAAGGGGCUAGCGUUGCUCGGAAUCACUGGGCGUAAAGGCGCGUAGGCGGCCAUUCAAGUCAGAGGUGAAAGCCCAAGGCUCAACCUUGGAACUGCCUUUGAUACUGUUUGGCUUGAGACCGGUAGAGGUAAGUGGAACUGCGAGUGUAGAGGUGAAAUUCGUAGAUAUUCGCAAGAACACCAGUGGCGAAGGCGGCUUACUGGACCGGUUCUGACGCUGAGGCGCGAAAGCGUGGGGAGCAAACAGG